rnacentral:rRNA from 1 species
UGAGGAAUAUUGGUCAAUGGACGCAAGUCUGAACCAGCCAUGCCGCGUGAAGGAUGAAGGCGUUCUGCGUUGUAAACUUCUUUUAUCUGGGAAGAAACCUCUGUUUUCUAAUAGAGCCGACGGUACCAGAGGAAUAAGCACCGGCUAACUCCGUGCCAGCAGCCGCGGUAAUACGGAGGGUGCAAGCGUUAUCCGGAUUUACUGGGUUUAAAGGGUGUGUAGGCGGGUCUAUAAGUCAGUGGUGAAAUCUCCGGGCUCAACCCGGAAACUGCCAUUGAUACUAUAGGUCUUGAAUAUUGUGGAGGUGGGCGGAAUGUGUCAUGUAGCGGUGAAAUGCUUAGAGAUGACACAGAACACCGAUUGCGAAGGCAGCCCACUACGCAACUAUUGACGCUGAGGCACGAAAGCGUGGGGAUCAAACAG